UAGCUUUUGCAUUCGGCCUCUCCGGUUCAACUCCCAACUCCCGCCCACCGAUACAGUCAGAUGUCUGCCGGAAAUGAUUCUACACUUGCUAGAAGGGCACUUUGAAGAAUCCUGUUGAUACUGAUUUCAUCGAAAUUUCUGAUUGUAAGCUGAAGUAGGAUUUAUCCUUAAUUUAUUUGUGCAGUAGCAUCCAGAAUGCCUAUGUAACAAACUUUAUCCCAGUACAGGAAACCCCGGAGUAUGUGAAGUAUAAUAAAGGGUAUUAUAGCUGGUUACCAAACAGCGUUGGGAGUAAUGGAGCAGCAUGUCCGCUGUUGGGGAAGUGCAAGCAUUACGCCAAACCACAUACUGUCCUAUUUUUUUUUUUAUACUAGUCGUAGGGCACAAAUGCCAUUUCUAUUCUCCGGAUACAAUUCUGUUAUGAUAAAUAGAGGCUUUGAAGUAUUGGUCUGUUUAUAAUCAAGUGGUGCUAACAUAGCUACUGCUGCAUUUUCUACUGUUUUCAUUCCGCUACAUCUACCGUUAGCACUACACACUGACACCGCCAGUGCGAAUGCUUUUUAAGUGUAGGUUAUCGUUGUGGAAACUCGUUGCUUUAAAAAUGCCUAUGUUCACUGAUAAGGGAGAACAAUAUAAAUAAACAGUCUAAAGCUUCCUCCUCCUGCCAUCAAAAUAGGCACAAAAUUGGGCAUAAAUAUCGGCCAUCACUCAGAUGUGACGACGUUUUAUGACGGAAUCUCGGAGUAGAGGUAAACAUUUCAGUUCCGACGCGGGUGAGGAUUUUACCCUUCCUCUCCAAAACCGAACGUUUUAUUUAUCGACUUGACAUUCCUUUUUUUUUUUUAAAUAAGGGCAUAAGAUUCCAAACCUCGGAUCUAACUAACGUCCAUCACAUUUCUUUGGUUGGCAAGCCUGGUUCUGAACAUGACCUUGUGGUGGCCAUAGCGUCAGAUGGCAUCACUCCUUCCUGGCUGAUGCAAGCAUAUUCCUCAGACACUGUAUAAUGUCGAGAGGAUAUGGUCUCUAUGUAGGAUGAGCAUUUUAAUUAUUAUAUUGUUUCAGCAAAUGACUUUGUGUAACCCAUUUUUCUAGAAGAUUGUGUUAUGCUGAAUAUGACGUUUUGAAAGUCGGGGACGUUCGUGUUUGCUGCAAAACGAGAAAAUCAUCAGGGUAUAAAAUUAAAUAAGGUGAUACAAAAGAGUGUAUAGCUAUUAAAGUGAUAUUUGUGUUCACUGUUAAAUAGGAAAGUAAUAGUUUUUCAUUUAACUUGUAAUGAAAGAUACUACACUUCUUUUUUCAUGUUAUGAUAGCGGAACCAAAAUGCAGCUCCAGGUAUUUAAACAGAGAGAGAGAGAGAGAGAGAGAGAGAGAGAGAGAGAGAGAGAGAGAGAGAGAGAGAGAGAGAGAGAGAGAGAGAGAGAGAGAGAGAGAGAGAGAGAGAAUAUGAAUAUAAUUUAAUAUGUUGAGAUAUAAAGCGCGAGAAAAGAGACAUUAUUUACUUUUAUGUGUGUUUCUUGCAAGCACGUAUAUAUGUAACGUAACAUCUCAGAAUGAUAACCUAAUUUCACUGCCUAUUAACAAGAUUUACAUUACCAUUCAUUGAGAGAUUAAAGAUUUGCUCAACGAUAGGCAAUUGUAGAUUGUAAAUAAUCAUAAUGUAUCCAUAUUUUUAGCCCCUGAGUUCACCUGAACAACAAUAAACUCGAAGAGAAAUCAACGGAAAGAUGAAAUAUGCCAUGGGACAACUUCAUCGCAUAUGAAAGCCAAAUAAUCCCAAAAUGACGAAUUUCUCAAAUUGCUCAAAAAUCGCUCGUUUGCCUCUCGCUCGUGAACGAAAUUCCCGCCAGAAAUAGAGGCGCGAGCGGUGCGCGCGCCGCUUCCCCGCUGACCAAUCAGAACCGUCUGCAUACAGUGACGUUUAGCCCUAAUAACCAAUAGGUGGGUCGUAUUGAUGUGACGUCACUUACCGCCAGCCAAUGAAAAAUGAGACCGCGGCUAUAUAGUACUUUCGGCUUCUUCCAUCGUUCCUUUCCGUCUUGGCCAGUCGACGUGGGCCUGUUGCCAAGAUCUGUAAGCUCUCGGUCAAGUAAUCAACCAUGGGCAAGGAGAAGAUCCAUAUUUCCAUCGUGGUGGUGGGCCACGUAGACUCUGGCAAGUCCACCACUACCGGUCAUCUCAUCUACAAAUGCGGUGGUAUCGACAAGCGAAC